rnacentral:rRNA from 1 species
UACGUAGGGUGCAAGCGUUAAUCGGAAUUACUGGGCGUAAAGCGUGCGCAGGCGGUUAUGCAAGACAGAUGUGAAAUCCCCGGGCUCAACCUGGGAACUGCAUUUGUGACUGCAUGACUAGAGUACGGUAGAGGGGGAUGGAAUUCCGCGUGUAGCAGUGAAAUGCGUAGAUAUGCGGAGGUACACCGAUGGCGAAGGCAGUCCCCUGGACCUGUACUGACGCUCAUGCACGAAAGCGUGGGGAGCAAACAGG